rnacentral:rRNA from 1 species
AGAGUUUGAUCAUGGCUCAGAUUGAACGCUGGCGGCAGGCCUAACACAUGCAAGUCGAGCGGUAGAGAGAAGCUUGCUUCUCUUGAGAGCGGCGGACGGGUGAGUAAUGCCUAGGAAUCUGCCUGGUAGUGGGGGAUAACGCUCGGAAACGGACGCUAAUACCGCAUACGUCCUACGGGAGAAAGCAGGGGACCUUCGGGCCUUGCGCUAUCAGAUGAGCCUAGGUCGGAUUAGCUAGUUGGUGAGGUAAUGGCUCACCAAGGCGACGAUCCGUAACUGGUCUGAGAGGAUGAUCAGUCACACUGGAACUGAGACACGGUCCAGACUCCUACGGGACGCAGCAG